GUAGGGAAUAUUGGGCAAUGGAGGCAACUCUGACCCAGCCAUGCCGCGUGCAGGAUGACGGCCCUCUGGGUUGUAAACUGCUUUUAUACGGGAAGAAAAAAUACUACGUGUAGUAUACUGACGGUACCGUAAGAAUAAGGAUCGGCUAACUCCGUGCCAGCAGCCGCGGUAAUACGGAGGAUCCAAGCGUUGUCCGGAUUUAUUGGGUUUAAGGGGUGCGUAGGCGGAUCUUUAAGUCAGUGGUGAAAGCCUGCAGCUUAACUGUAGAAUUGCCAUUGAAACUGAAGAUCUUGAAUGUGGUUAAAGUAGGCGGAAUGUAUCAUGUAGCGGUGAAAUGCUUAGAUAUGAUACAGAACACCGAUAGCGAAGGCAGCUUGCUGAACCAUUAUUGACGCUGAGGCACGAAAGCGUGGGGAGCGAACAGGAUUAGAAACCCCAGUAGUCC
rnacentral:rRNA from 1 species